rnacentral:rRNA from 1 species
GAUGAACGCUGGCGGCGUGCCUAAUACAUGCCAGUCGAGCGAACAGAUGAGGAGCUUGCUCCUCUGACGUUAGCGGCGGUCGGGUGAGUAACACGUGGAUAACCUACCUAUAAGACUGGGAUAACUUCGGGAAACCGGAGCUAAUACCGGAUAAUAUAUUGAACCGCAUGGUUCAAUAGUGAAAGACGGUUUUGCUGUCACUUAUAGAUGGAUCCGCGCCGCAUUAGCUAGUUGGUAAGGUAACGGCUUACCAAGGCAACGAUGCGUAGCCGACCUGAGAGGGUGAUCGGCCACACUGGAACUGAGACACGGUCCAGACUCCUACGGGAGGCAGCAGUAGGGAAUCUUCCGCAAUGGGCGAAAGCCUGACGGAGCAACGCCGCGUGAGUGAUGAAGGUCUUCGGAUCGUAAAACUCUGUUAUUAGGGAAGAACAAAUGUGUAAGUAACUAUGCACGUCUUGACGGUACCUAAUCAGAAAGCCACGGCUAACUACGUG